GCGGCGGCAGGCGGGAGCCGGGCGGCGGCCGGGCGGUGCUCUCCCGCCGCCUGAGUGGGCGCGGCGCGGCGCGGGACGGCGGCGCGGGGUGCCGGGAGCCAUGGGCUAUUGCAGCGGCCGGUGCACGCUGGUGGCGGUGUGCGGCGCGCAGCUGGUUUCUGUGCUCGAGAGGCAGAUAUUUGACUUCCUUGGUUAUCAGUGGGCACCCAUCCUGGCAAAUUUUAUACACAUUAUUGUAGUCAUACUUGGCUUAUUUGGAACCAUCCAGUAUAGACCUCGUUACAUAACAGGAUAUGCUGUCUGGCUGGUCCUUUGGGUUACAUGGAAUGUGUUUGUUAUCUGCUUCUAUUUGGAGGCUGGGGACCUUUCAAAGGAAACAGAUCUCAUUCUGACCUUUAAUAUCUCAAUGCAUCGUUCUUGGUGGAUGGAGAACGGGCCAGGCUGCACCGUGACCUCAGUAACCCCAGCCCCAGACUGGGCACCAGAGGAUCAUCGUUACAUCACUGUCUCGGGGUGUUUUCUUGAAUAUCAGUACAUAGAAGUGGCUCACAGUUCUCUUCAGAUCUUCCUUGCACUGGCGGGCUUCAUCUAUGCCUGUUAUGUUGUGAAAUGUAUUACCGAAGAAGAGGACAGCUUUGAUUUCAUAGGUGGAUUUGACUCUUAUGGCUACCAAGGUCCACAGAAGACAUCUCAUUUACAGCUACAGCCCAUGUAUAUUGCCAACAGCGUGCUCUAUGCUGUACAAGCCAAGAAGCCUAGACAGUCCCUUCAAAACGAAUACGCUUUUUAAACAGAAUGGGACAGAACCGGUCCUCAUGUACUUCCUUGCAGUGUGGCCACAGAUGAUGUCCUAAAAAGCAGCUUCCUGGAGUUCUGUGCUGGAGAUGCCAGUGCUCAUUCCCAGACCAUGGGACAACAACACAAUAAGAUGGUGGAAAUCAAUUGUCAAGAGAAAAUUCUGCUCGAAGAAGGUCAAAGUAAACAUGGGGAUUACUCAACGUGGGCUGGAGGACCUGUCAAAGAAACUUUCAGGAUGGCCCCCUGGUUCUUCAAAAACAAAAAAAUUCCAGGUUUUGUGUUAAAAAAAAAAAAAAAAAGAAAAGAGAAAAAACAACAAAAAGCUGAUUGAACAGUGAGACAAAAAACAAUGGACACCUUCAGCCCCUCUUUCUAACAGGUAUUAAGGGAGAUGCCAUGGCCCCCCACCUUGGACCCUCUGCUUCCCAGCACCAGAGGGCCAGAGCAGAGGCGUUGGUGCCAUCUUCUGGUUCUUCCCUACCCUGGCCACUGCCAGCAUGGCCCAUCGGGAUUAAGACAUGAACCCAGCCAGUUCGGUGCUUUCGGAGCCCCCUCCACACUCCUGGCCGUGUCGAGUCUCCUUAGUCAACACAACUCUGAAAAUACCGGGAUGACCUUGCAGCAGAAGUCAAUAGACAGCGCAUUGUUUGCCCUGAAGGCUGUACAGUUCAUACUUGCCUUAACCCAACUGCGUUGCACAUCAGAGAAACUCAGUGCAAGCUUUCUGAAGUAACGUCCUUCAGGCUCAACAUGCUGCUGUUAAUUCUGAACGAUUUCUAAGUCAGUGGUUUUCUUUUGUUUGGUUUUGUUUUGUUUUCAUGUCAGGGAAUAAGGCUCUGUUGCUCCACAGCUCCAGAGCGACCGAGUAGAAAACUGCCAGCUGUCUGAGAAGUGCUUUACUUUUGAGGCUCCACAGUGGUCAAGAAACAAACAGUUUAUAAUGGUCAAAAAAAAAAAAAAAGGAAUGAGACCUUUUGGGGGUUGGGGUGGGGAAAGGGGUAACAUAAACUAAUAACUGAACCUACUGGAAAUAAGCAGCAGAAACAGUGCUUCUUAAUCCCGCUGUUUUUAUUUAUCACACUGUAGGUGCUUUUAUAGCUAUCUCUAAAUGUCUUUUACUAACUACAGAGACAUCUGCAGAUUUCUAUCAACAAAGGCCAACUGAAUAUGUACUAGCUACGUUUACUCUUUUAUAUCUAAUUUCAACUGAAAAUUCUCUGUAAGUGAGCUUUUUUUUCUAAUUGCACCAUAAGGGAUCCAUCUAUUUUAUCUUUUGGUUUCAGUUAGGGAGGGCGGGAAGGGACUAGUUGAGUUGAAGAAAUAUUGGAGAACUUUUUGUGGUAUAUCUGGGGGAUCUGUUGUGUGUUAGAACGUGUAUUUUAUCUUCCUGUAUUAUUGUGGCUGAAAAAAAAACUGUGCUGUUACGUAGUUGGCAACAAGAUGCCUUUGGGAAUUUUGCUAGUAGGUCAAUGUGUAUAUGAAAUACUCUGAACUCCUAGGAACAUAUGUUUUGUUCUACAUCUGAUCUGUAUUUUCAAGCACUUAGGUGGUUUUCAUUAGGAAAAACCCAAUAUUUUGCUUUCCAGAAACUUGGAUUGUCAUUGUUUCUUUGCUCAGACCUUGCAUAGGCAAACACACGCACCUACCACACCCGAGGUGACCACGUAGCGUUUGAGGGCAAGUGGGAAGGUCAGCACUUGGAAAGGCUCGUUGCUUGGAAAAGCAACUCCCUUUCCCUUGCUGGCUAAACUCUUGUGCCUGCACAGUUCCCGAGCUCCCACAGCUUGUGCGCUCACGCCACUCAUCCAUCCCUGUACCAACCAGUGCCCUUUGCUGUGUCUGCAUGGAUGUACAGUGUCACAAGCAACAACUCUGGACAAUGACAGAGGAACAGGCAUUCACCAGUGAAAAACAAGAUACGGGACAUGUUCAGGAACUGUACUUGCAUUUAUUCAGUGAGAUUUUUAUAUAUAUAUACAUAUAUAUAUAUAUGUAAGUGUGUGUGUGUGUGUAUGUCUAUGUAUAUAAAAUGCACAAGGAAUAGCUAUUGACAGGGGCUGCAUAACCCAGGAAGCAUCUGAUGCAGGGGGCCAAGGGCUCCAGCCCCAGAUCCUGCUAGGGAUUUCCUGCAUGAAUUGGGCACAACCCCUAGGCCUGAUCCCAUAAAGCAUUCAUUGCUGAUUUGGAUCUCAAGUUUAAAUUUUCAGACUUGGGUAGCUGAAAUUCUGAGUUCAUUCUGGGUAGGGCUGCUCUUCACCCCCUGGAAAAUCAUGCAACUUCCAAGUGCCAGGCCGAUAUUUCCCGUAAGUUGAAAAAUUUUUAAAGUUUCUACUUUUAUUUAGUAUUAAAUAUAGCAGAUGCAUAGUAUUAAACACAAUGUAGAGGUUUAAAUGGAAUGAAAAUGUCAUAACAGGGUAUUUUAGCUUUCCCUAGAUACCAGUUAAUCAAAAUCAUAUUUCUAUAAAAAUCUUUUUUUUUUAAUGUGAAAAGAAACCAGUUUAGGCACAUAAGCAGCAAUCCAGUUUUCAGAAGAUAAUUUUUCAUACCUUUCAGUGAUUUCCCACAGAACAGUGGCUACUGGUAGUUAGCAAUUUUAGAAGUCAGACAAUUUAAUGAAGUGUCUACAUGUAACUUUUAGGCCUGAUUUUAAUUUAGAAAAUUUUGGCCUUAAUUUCUCUGUGUCUUAGUCUUCCCAUCUAUAAAACGGGAGUAAUACGUGCCUCACAGGUUUUUCGUGAGGUCUGAAUUGUUAAUGUUUGUAAAGUGCUUAGGAAAUAGGAAGCACAUCUAACUAUUAAGGAUAUACAAUAUAAAUGCAUAUUCAUAUAUUACAUAUAGAGUAGAUAUACACACACUCACAUACGCACAGUAUACAUAUAUAUACACAUACAUAUCUAUAUAAUGUUGGUAUUCAUAACCCUGCUUAAGUUGCAGUUAGAGCACCACCAUUAAAAAGAAAUUAGGACUGUUGACUACUAAACUAGAUGAUUAGUGGACAGAUCUCUCUGGAAGCAGUUUAGAGCACAGUAAUGUGAGAAUAUCUGGAUGACAUUUUUGAUUUGUACAGCUGUAUCCUCCUCAAAAUCCAGUAAAGAAUGUUAUUUUUCUAGGCUGGGCUUUUGUUAUAAACUUAAAUAUUCAGAAGGCAAGAGAUACAAUCCAAAUGUGUCUUUUUUUUUUCUUUUCUUUUUGGCAUUUGUUAAUUCUGAAUGUAUUUUUAACAAAAGUGAUUUUUUUGACUUACUAGUGUAAUUUGCAUUUAAAAAAAAAAUAAAUGGAAAAAAAUA